UCUACUUCAAACCAAUAUUAAAAUCUAGCUUGAACUUCAAACUAACAUAAUAACCUUACUAGAAUCGACUAAUUAUCGACAAUAUUAUGCUCAUGCAAGCCUGAAAACAGUUCAUAUAGUCCAAUUAAUACAAAUCAAUGUAUUGUCUAAAUAAACAUGAUUACUCAUUGCCUUUAAACAAAAAUAAAAUAGGAAACUUCAAAGAUCAAAUCAAAUAACAUUUCAGCAUUUAUCUUCAAAUCAAUCCUACAUUGAUUCUUCAAAGAUCGUAUGAGACCGAAUGAGUACCUGGAGAGUGAAUGAAUGGAAUGAAUGAGAAUCAGCAAAACAGAUAAUUGCAAUUGAAACCAGCAACAACAUAGCUCAUAAAUUGAGUGCCAAAAACCCGAAGAAGGUGAUCUCAGUCAGACAAAUACCCACAGCAAACUAGUUUUCUUUUGAAAGGAAAAUAAAACCCAAAACAGCGCUCCACCAGUUUAACAAAAAGAUCUCAC
rnacentral:lncRNA from 1 species